rnacentral:lncRNA from 1 species
AAUAAAUAGGUAAACCCGAAACAAUUGUUGGCUUUGUUUAAAGCCCUCCAUUCAUUAUUUUGACGGAUUAUUAACUUGAAAGCUUCAAAAGCUUGGUUAUUCGAGGUGAUUUCUCCAAAACUCCUGAAAAGGUAUUUUUCCUGAACUCGAAUAAUCCUAAACUGGCCUAUCACAUGCCGGACGCUGUAACAUCAUCAAAACUGAGUGGGACAAGGUAAAUAGAAAACUCUUUACCCUUUUUAAGCAAUGAAGCAGGAGAAUCCCUGGAGUCCGAUGCAUUAUCAAGAACAUAAGAUCUAGCAAUCCCAAGAAAGAUACAGUCUGAGGAUCAUGGGGAGAACCUACAAAGGUGAGAAAAAAUUUUAAUGAUUAAAAUUUUAAUGAUCAAGAACAUAAGAUCUAGCAAUCCCAACAAUACUCUGCUGAGCAAGAAAUAAAAAGAUCUGACAAAAACUCACCGAAAAUCAGCUUCAUAAUAUAUUAUAUUUAUCUGAGUGUGUUCUGUAUUAUAUAUUUAAAAUAAAUAGGUAAACCCGAAAAAACUGUUGGCUUUGUCUAAAGCCCUCCAUUCAUUAGUUUAACGGAUUAUUGACUUGAAAGCUUCAAAAGCUUGGUUAUUUGAGGUGAUUUCUCCAAAACUCCUGAAAAGGUCUUUUCCUGAACUAGAAUAAUCCUAAACUGGCCUAUCCCAUACCGGACGCUGUAACGUCAUCAAAACUGAGUGGGACAAGGUAAAUAGAAAACUCUUUACCCUUUUGAGGCAAUGAAACAGGAGUAUCCCUGGAGUCCAAUGCAUUAUCAAGAACAUAAGGAAGAUCUAGCAAUUCCAAGAAAGAU